AAUAUGUUGGCUGAACCUGGCUCUUUGUUUUGAAAUCUUAAGUUUUAUAUACAAUAGACAGUUCUGGCCCAAAUCAUGACAUAACAGCUUACUCAAAAGUUAGCUUGGGAAACUAAGAGAAAUAUCAUGAGUUUACUAUUCUUUCUCCUUACUGUUGACCUUAAAGUGUGCUUUUUAAAUUAUAACUGGGUGUAUCGAUACCAUUAGGUAUAUGUGUAUAUAUUUCAUAGGUAUAUAUAUGUAGAAGUUAUCCAUUUUUACUUCAUCACUUUUCACCUUUCAUUUUCAGUUUUCUAAGAAAGGUGUACCUUUCUGUCAAGUUCAGGAAUCCAGUCUCUAUCUAGUAUUGAAAUAUCCUGCAGGGGAAUGACAGGCUGUUUCCUAAUAUCAAUUACCAUCUCUGAAUGGAGCUCUAUGGUGGUCAAUAUCGUAUUUUUCAAUUUCAGUGGUAGCAGGGGUGCUUGAGUGCCAGGCAUCUGGGGGCCUCAUUCCAGUGUGGAAGGAGAGAGCAGGAACCAGGUAAGGUAGGUGCUGAGGAAAUUAAUUGGCCUCUACAAGCUGUUUCUUCACAAGGUAGUAGAGCGGUCAAGUGCACGGUGUAUAAUGUGUGGGGCAAGACCACGUGUGGUUGGACCAUCCACAGUACCAGCCUGAUAACUAAUUGGCAUCAGGCUGAUACCGGCCUAGCAACAAAAAAUGUUCAAGAAGCAGUAAUAUUUGAAAUCAGGCAGGUGAUGACAUUGCUGAAGCAGGUGAUCUGUCCAUGCAGGGCAGAACCGCAGGAACAUCCUGACAGGAAAGGCAAAGCGUUGGUCAUGAUGAUGACAGUGAAAAAAAGGUUUAGAGUCUACAAGCACUAUAGGGUAACCCAGGACUCAUCCCUGAUAUAAUUCCAGGCUGAUAUUAUAAUUCCAGGCUGAUAUUGACAUAUUUAUCUUGGAAAGAAUAAUUUAGAAAUUAAGGUUAGUUUUUCUGGACUGCCAGAAGAGGCUCAUUGGCAGAUACCUGAGAGACUCUAGGAAACAGAAAUGAGUCACGUGAUGACAAAAUCUCUUUCUUUGCUACCAGUAAAUUAAUGACAUUUCCCUGAGUAGCUUCAAAAAAAAACUUACUGCAUUCCCCAAAAUACCUCUGCUAAGUUCUAAGGAGAUAAGCAAAUCAUAGUAUGUAUACUAUGAUGACUGAAAGAAAUAUAAAAGACAUGGUGAAAAGAAAUAAGGAAGAAUAAUGAAAUGGGGCUACAAGAAAAGUAAACAGGACACAUGCUAUAAAAUUCUCAUAGUUCCUAAAGGUGAGACCCCAAAUCAAUCCUAAGUUUCCUAAUGAGUCAAAACAAAGAAGGAAUUUGGACAAAUCGAGUGAUUCACAUUGUCCAUAUGAUAAAACAUAACUACUUGAGGGGAGGCACUGGCCUUGUGGUCUAGGGAAAGUUUCUCCCACGUUUGCUACAAACGAGACAUAGUGUGAAAUAGUGGAUAAUGAGAUUUUCUCAUAGCAGUUUCUAAUAACAUUCUUCAAUGUAGGAUGAAUCAUCAAACUAAAGCCUAAUUUAAUAAAAGCGAUUCUAUGGAAGGCCCAGACAGUAUAGUCUCGACUGCUCCUUGGAUGACACACAAAGGAGUAAAGGAAUAGAACUGCACCUCCCGUACGCCAUGCUCCUCAAGGCCUUUCGAGGGUCUCUGGAGAGGUUGCGCUGAUAACUUCUGGCAAAAUCCUUGAGUGGAGUUACUCUAUGUGAGUGAUGGAGGAAAGACUCCUAUGUCUUCAAUGUCUACUAAAUGGAGGAUAGAGUUCUCAUACUUUUAUUAAAAUUAAGACGUUUAACUAAGAUAUUGAAGAGAUAGCUACUCCAUAGUCCCAGCCAUAGGCAAAGUCAAAAAUAUCUAAAAUGACUCAAUUUUGCCAAAAGGCUCCAACACUUGAACAAUGGAAGAUUAAAUACUUCACAUUCCUAUUCUUAGAGCAUCUGUGAGGCUGUUGUUUGGAAAUUUCCCCAUGCAGGAAUAACUAAUUCCUCAUUAGGCUGUAAGUGAAUUUCACUGAAGAUAUUCAAGUAUAGUGGCUGGUCAGUGACAACACGAUUAAAUUACUCCUCAGUAACUAAAGGAGAUUUUCUAUCAAUUCAUAUGACAGGUGUCUCUCAAGAUUUAUGAAAGCUAGCAUUUUUUCUGCUAUUACUUAGCUCACAAGGUCCUUUGUCUGUUGGCGCCAGUCUGGCCUUGUUGUAUCGUAUCCUGAGCUUUGAGGAGAGCACUUAGUUGUUCUCCUAGGUGUGAGGUAGGGAUGGACAGCAUCUGUUAGGUUCUCUACCACACACAAGUGGGUGAGUGUACCCUACACAAUGAUGAUGAUGAUGACGAUGAGGUAAUAAUGGUAACUGUUUAUUGAUAUUCACUAUAUUUGCCAUAUACUUGGUACCCGCUUAGCACAUCAUGUAAUUUAUUUCAUUUGAUCUUCAACAACCACUUAAUUGUUGUUCAGCAUCAUUGUCCUCAAUUUAUAGCUAUGGAAACUGAAGUUUAAAGUUUCAAUAGCUUACCCACAUUUACACAGCUACGAGGUGGAAUGCGCACCCAGGUGGACUUACUCCAAAGCUUGUGUUCUUUCUUAUCUACCAGCAAUAUUUGACUUGGAGGUUUACUUUUCAGCUUCAGCAUCUACAGAUUUUGGGUCUCCCAUCAGAGCUGAGAGAAAGGGACUUUGGCCACUCAGUAUGAGGGUCUCAAACUUGCCAAUCUAAGACGGUAAGAGCAGACAGUGAAGGUGGAUGCGUCUCUCCUCAAUUCCAUUUCCCACGGUGAUGAGAAAGUAAAGCUGGAAAUUUUAAAAGAUGAAUUAUGAGUGUGAUUCAUGCAAGAAAUGUAAUGGAGGAUUACAAUCAAUGGAGACAUUCGAAGAAAGGACUUUGGCUCUGCAUCAAAGGAAAGGAGAGUAAAUCUGCCUUUACAUAUUUUAAAUUAAAAUAAAAUGUUUAUAAUACAUAUUUGGUGUUUCUUAAAACUGGGAUUCAGUUACUAAGGCAGGUGGAGAGAAUGGAAGUUGGAUAAAGUACUAGCAGACCUGUCGUUGUUAUUAAUAUUUCCUUUUUGUGAAUAUUGAACCUCUCAGCUUCAGUAGUCAGCAG
rnacentral:lncRNA from 1 species